UAUCAACAAGAACAGAAAAACCAUGCACAUUAUUACAGAAUGAAACAAGAUUUGACUCAUCCCAGUUAACAUCAGCUGAAUGGACUUAUAUACCAGAAGAUUUCAUCCAAAAAAAGAAGCAUGACUGCAAAUGAAGAAUAAAUGACAAUUUUGGAUGCAAUUGUACAGGAAUGACUGGCAAUACUAAG